UACGAAGGGGGCUAGCGUUGUUCGGAUUUACUGGGCGUAAAGCGCACGUAGGCGGACUUUUAAGUCAGGGGUGAAAUCCCGGGGCUCAACCCCGGAACUGCCUUUGAUACUGGAAGUCUUGAGUAUGGUAGAGGUGAGUGGAAUUCCGAGUGUAGAGGUGAAAUUCGUAGAUAUUCGGAGGAACACCAGUGGCGAAGGCGGCUCACUGGACCAUUACUGACGCUGAGGUGCGAAAGCGUGGGGAGCAAACAGG
rnacentral:ncRNA from 5 species